GCGGCGCUUAACGGCGUGAACACGUACCACGAAACUCUAUAACCCAUUGAUUUAAAAGUAGUAAGCAACUUUCUUGUAAUCAGUAGGUCCCGGGUUCGAUUCCUGGUGCCGCA
rnacentral:tRNA from 1 species